UUCCUACGGGGCGCAGCAGUGAGGAAUAUUGGUCAAUGGGCUAAGGCCUGAACCAGCCAAGUCGCGUGAGGGAAGACGGUCCUAUGGAUUGUAAACCUCUUUUGUCGGGGAGCAACGAGGCCACGUGUGGCCGAAGUGAGAGUACCCGAAGAAAAAGCAUCGGCUAACUCCGUGCCAGCAGCCGCGGUAAUACGGAGGAUGCGAGCGUUAUCCGGAUUUAUUGGGUUUAAAGGGUGCGUAGGCGGAUUUUUAAGUCAGCGGUAAAAUGUCCGGGCUCAACCCGGGCCGGCCGUUGAAACUGGGGG
rnacentral:rRNA from 1 species